AGAAGGACACAUCUGAGGUCAGCGACCAGCGCAUCCGCGUGACCAGUGAAGUCCUCACCUGCAUUAAGAUGAUUAAAAUGUACACGUGGGAGAAACCAUUUGCCAAAAUCAUUAAAGGCCUUCACCAUGGUGGCCGUCUUGAAUCUCAUGUGGCUGACAGUGUUCUAUGCGCCCUUCGCAGUCGAAGGCCUCACGAAUUCCAAGUCUGCAGCUGAGAGGUUCAAAAAAUUUUUCCUCCAGGAGAGCCCUGUUUUAUA